ACCUGGGUGGCUCAGUCGGUCAAGCGUCUGACUUUGGUUCAGGUCAUGAUUUCAUGGCUCAUGAGUUCAAGUCCCAUAUCAGGCU
rnacentral:tRNA from 1 species